UACGUAGGGUGCGAGCGUUGUUCGGAUUCAUUGGGCGUAAAGGGUGCGUAGGUGGCGCUGUAAGUCGGGUGUGAAAUUUCGGAGCUUAACUCCGAAACUGCAUUCGAUACUGCCGUGCUUGAGGACUGGAGAGGAGACUGGAAUUUACGGUGCAGCGGUGAAAUGCGUAGAUAUCGUAAGGAAGACCAGUGGCGAAGGCGGGUCGCUGGACAGUUCCUGACGCUGGAGGC
rnacentral:rRNA from 1 species